rnacentral:rRNA from 1 species
UACGUAGGGUCCGAGCGUUGUCCGGAAUUACUGGGCGUAAGAGCUCGUAGGUGGUUUGUCGCGUUGUUCGUGAAAACUCACAGCUCAACUGUGGGCGUGCGGGCGAUACGGGCAGACUGGAGUACUGCAGGGGAGACUGGAAUUCCUGGUGUAGCGGUGGAAUGCGCAGAUAUCAGGAGGAACACCGGUGGCGAAGGCGGGUCUCUGGGCAGUAACUGACGCUGGAGGAGCGAAAGCGUGGGGAGCGAACAGG